AAGGAAUAUUGGUCAAUGGACGCAAGUCUGAACCAGCCAUGCCGCGUGGAGGAUUAAGGCCCUCUGGGUUGUAAACUCCUUUUAUCUGGGAAGAAAUGUACUUUUUCUUGAGUACUUGACGGUACCAGAGGAAUAAGCACCGGCUAACUCCGUGCCAGCAGCCGCGGUAAUACGGAGGGUGCAAGCGUUAUCCGGAUUCACUGGGUUUAAAGGGUGCGUAGGUGGGCAGGUAAGUCAGUGGUGAAAUCUCCGGGCUUAACCCGGAAACUGCCGUUGAUACUAUUUGUCUUGAAUAUUAUGGAGGUAAGCGGAAUAUGUCAUGUAGCGGUGAAAUGCUUAGAUAUGACAUAGAACACCAAUUGCGAAGGCAGCUUACUACACAAUCAUUGACGCUGAGGCACGAAAGCGUGGGGAUCAAACA
rnacentral:rRNA from 1 species